UUGAUAAGCGUGAGGUCGGAGGUUCAAGUCCUCCCAGGCCCACCAAUUUACCUAUCCAUUUGCCUUUAUCUGUUUAUUUGCCGAUUUAUCGGUCCAUUGAAUUUAAGUGUUGGUAGCAGUUUUAUAAUGAUGAGAAAUCAUGCUUAUAAAAGAACUCCUUAUAAAAGGCUUGUUUUUAAAAUGUGACGCUUAUCCAUUUCGCUUAGGCAAGAGAAACUUCAAGCGGUUCAAAUACAAAAGGCUUUAAAUUUUGCAAAACACUUUGAAUUUUGCAAAACACUUUGAAUUUUAAAGUGAUCCAAGUUCGUGAUCUCGAAUUUAAAAGUUUCGAAUGCUUUAUCCUUUUUUGGGGGCCGUAGCUCAGCUGGGAGAGCACCUGCUUUG
rnacentral:misc_RNA from 1 species